UUCCUUCCUUUCUUUCUUUCUUCCUUCCUUUCUUGUCUCUCCCUUCCUUCCUUUUCCAUUCCUUCUUCUUUUCUUUUUCUGUCCUUCCUUCCUUUCUUUUCCAUUCCUUCCCUCUUUCCUUUUUUCUUCUUCCAUGCUUCCUUUUUCAUUUCCUUUCUUCCUUCCUUCCUUCCUUUCUUCCUUUUCUUCUUCUUUCCUUUCUUUCUUUCUUGUCCCUCCCUCCCUUCCUUUCUUUUCCAUUCCUUCCUCUUUUCUUGUUCUAUCCUUCCUACCUUUCUUUCUUUUCCAUUCCUUCCCUCUUUCCUUUUUCUUCUUCCGUGCUUCCUUGUUUCAUUUCCUUCCUUCCAUCCUUCCUUUCUUUCUGCCUUUCCUUCUUCCUUCCUUCCUUUCUUGUCCAUUGCUUCCUCUUUUCUUUUUCUGUCCUUCCUUCCUUUCUUUUCCAUUCCUUCCUUCUCCAUUCCUUCCUCUUUUCUUUUUUCUUCUUCCGUGCUUCCUUUUUCAUUUUCCUUUCUUCCUUCCUUCCUUCCUUGUCCCUCCCUUCCUUCCUUUUCCAUUUCUUCCUCAUUUCUUCUGUCCUUCCUUCCUUUCUUUUCCAUUCCUUCCCUCUUUCUUUUUUCUUCUUUCGUCCUUACUUUUUUCUUCCUUCCUUUCUUCCUUCUUCCGUCCUUCCUUCUUUCCUCUUCUCUUCUUCCGUCCUUCCUUCAUUUCUUUCCCCUCCUUCCUUCUUUCCUCUUUUCUUCUUCUAUUCUUUCAGCGUAGUGUAAACUCCUCUGGCCUGAAGUUACAGUUUCACCUCCGACACUGGAGACUCCUUCCGUAAACGUUAAACAAACCUCUCUUUACAGAAAUCUUCGCCACAUCAACGGUUAACGAUAACACACUAAACCGCGCUACUGUCAGAGCUGCUGUUAUACAAAAUGAAUCAACACCUUCUGACCAAUCAGAGUCCAGCAGCAGCGUGGAUGAAUGCAACAUUGGAUGGUAGCGUUAUUCACGCUAACGCGGCUCACCUGGAGUAGCAUUUAUUAAAGGAAGCUGCAUCGGGAGAUCGAAAUGCCGUGUUGGUCAGUUUACAUAACGCAGAUCGCCCUGUCCGAACUCACUUCGCCUCUUUACCUCAUUAGCAUCGGCGUUUUUUUUUUUUGACGUCUGAUUUGUUUCGCCCGCACGCCGCUUUCAGAACCGAUUCACCAUUUCCCGCUAAACGCGCUGCACAUUAGCGCUUGACGGCUUUCGAAAACUUAAAUAAAACACACGAGGAGCUCCAAACCAGUCGUGUGCCUGAGCCUUCCGUGGCGUGUCUACGUGUGUCAGAAAUUCAGAAGCUCUGGGUUAUUCUUCUUUCAGGCUUCUCUGUACUUUGUUGAAUGUUUCAAAUGUCACAAUUGCUAAUGUGCUUUUAGCUGAACUGAAUUCAACAAGUAGCCAUCGUGGAGAAAAAGAGAAAAUAAAAACAAAGAGAGUGACAAAAGAGUCACUAGAAAAGUGAACAGAUUGCAGAAUUUUGCACUGGUUCAAGCAUUUAAAUGUGUUAUAGCCUGUUAGCUAACCAGCUAAUUCACAACACGGCGUAGAGUGAAAGAUUAGCUGUUUUUUGAUGAUUAGCAAAGAAAUGGUCCAAUGAGCAACAGGUAACUUUAUCUGAUCUGCUAUAUCUGCUAUCAACGUUUUAAAACCGUGCAGGUAUGAUUAUUAAUCAGGUAUGAUUAGUGCAACAAGAUCACAUAAAGUUAAGCUAGUUAAUGUAAGAAGAGACACAGAUGAACUACAGGCAAAUACGGCCAACUUGAAAGAUAUUGUGUGCGGAAAUAGUGUGCGAGAGGAAAAGUGUUUGAGGACAGAGUUUUUGUGGAAAAGUGUGAGGGGAAAUGUGUAAUGUGUAAAAAGAGUGUGUGAGGGGAGAGUGUGUGUGAGGGGAGUGUGUGAGGGGAGUGUGUGUGAUGGGGAAAUUCUUUGUUUCAAAUGAAACGAGAAGUGGACUGUUGUAAAUUUUGUAAAAAUGCGUUCAUCUCGAUUUGAUUUGAAAUGAAUGAAGAGUCGCCUCAGACUCCGCCCUCUCGGAGGUGAAGGGAAGCGGCGCUGAAACCCUGAACACGGAGUCUGUGUCACUCGGAGGAAGAAUCCGCCCGCGUUCCCGGCCCUGACAGAUCAGACAAAGCAUCGUGACGGUGAAACAAGAGCCACUUUUAUGAGGUCCGUAACACAAGCCCAGGGGGCCGCUGGGAAACAGAUCCGCCGAUGAAAAAGACGGCCGAGCUCCAUCUUUCAUGUGCACGUCGCUUUUAUUUCGGCCCGCAGACACAAAUGACAGACGAUUAAGACGGCACAAAGGCGAGGGGGAAAUGCGGUCGCGGCCCAAAUGAACCCGGCCGUACCUGAGCGCGUUUCAUGUGCUUCUCUUACUACGAGUCCAAAGGAAACGCUUUCAGGAAGCGAGAAUGAAAAAGGUCAAGUCUUUCCGUUGGAAAUUAAACCUCACUUUCUACAUAUCAAAAAAAAAAAAAAACCACGUCUCGCUAAAAACUCCCUUUAAAAGACCCCCUUUGCUAAGAAAUGCUAAGUAAGUGAACACGCCUAGCAUGAAUUAGCACGUGUAAAAAUACCAACGUUCUUUACUCGGUUACGCGCACGGUAAAAGUUGAAGCGUCGGAUUAGUUCCGCAGAGAAGUAUAAACUUGUACGUUCAAUUUCGAGUCCGAUUAAAAGUUUAAAAAAAGGCUGACAAAAACGAAACGAGAGAAAGAAAGACGUCCGUUUUUCCUUCGCUGAAGCUAAAUUAGCAGCAAGAAAACAAGGAAUGUAAGAAAACUCGAGCCAUUAGCUACGGCUAACUACUGUAGCAACACCGUCAUUCCGAAGCGCUCAGAAGUUAGCUAGCAUGACGAGACAAACUAGCUGCUAAUAGCUAGCGUGAUAAACACGGCGGCGGCAGAUCGCUUACCGUUAGCCGUAUCUUUCUUAUUACUGAAACUCACCAUUUUUGAAAGGUUGUAAGUUGUUGGGUUUUGUUUGUUCGUUUAGCAUGCACUGCUAAUUCUGCGAAGCAUUCCAUAAUACAAGUUAGCUUUAAUGAACGAUUCCUGUGAGGAAAGAAAGCUAAACAUUUACGCUAAUCACAAUUCAAAAUGUAGCGAUGCAUCCUUGCUAGUAUUUUGUUGUUGUUGUUGCUAAUCUCUGCGUUAGCAUUUCUAAAGUAGUUUUAUUUCUGGCUUUUAUUUUGUAAGCCAGGUUCUACGCUAAAAACUUCAGACAGAUUUUUUUUAAAAAAAAAGUUUCAUAGGUGCGUCCAGACCGCUGAUUUUUACUGAUGUGGGUAGUAGGGUGAUACAGAUGGCUAACGGAUGUUUCCGAAGGUUUAUUUAAAGUAAGAAAAGCGUGUAGGACUAGGAUGCUAGCAUGAAUUAGCACGCAGUCACACGGCGUGAUGAUCCAUGCAUCAUGGCGAUAUUCCUGUGGAAAGACUGAGCAGGUUUUUAAUCUACUCUUGACAGGGAAUUACGGCGGGUAAUAUGGCGCUAAUCACUCCGUCUAGUAGGAAAAGUGGAAAACGCUAUCCAGCACUAGCUCUUAAUCAGGCCUCCAUCUUGCCGUCUGAGGAUUGUUUGACGAGGCGGCGUCGAGAGAUUGUGAGCAGGAUUGCGUUUUUAAUGAAGAGCUGAAAAGCUUAUUCACCCAUCUGUGCUAGCACUUCUUCACAUCAUGCUAAUAAAGUUGUUUGUCUCGCUUGAUCUCUUCAUAAGAAGCAGCUGAUUAGCCAAAUUCCUCCGAUUCUAGCGCAGAACUGAAAAUCGGCCCGGAUUCAUUCUUAUUCUCGUCGUCAUUUUUUCUCUCCUUUUUUUCCCCCUUCAUUUAAUCACCAAAGGUUUGGCAGAUAACUAAAAAAUAUCUGUUUUAAAUUAAUUUGUUUAACAUGAAAGUAAUUUUAAAAAAUUUUUUUACAUUUAAAUAAACUUCACUUUAGCGCAAACAAGUAAUUGUGUAACCAUAUAGGCCACACAGACACCAUCACGUGGGCGUGGCCCAAUCCACACACUCUUUACGCACUAUAUAGGCCACAUAGACACCAUCAUAUCUGUGUGUCCCAAUCCACACACUCUUUACGCACUAUAUAGGCCACAUAGACACCAUCAUGUGGGCGUGACCCAAUCCACACACUCAUUACGCACUAUAUAGGCGACAUAAACACCAUAAUGUGGGCGUGUUCCAAUCCACACACCCUUUACGCACUAUAUAGGCGACAUAAACACCAUCAUGUGGGCGUGACCCAAUCCACACACUCAUUAUGCACUAUAUAGGCGACAUAAACACCAUCAUGUGCUUGUGUCCCAAUCCACACACUCAUUACGCACUAUAUAUUCCACAUAAACACCAUCAUGUGGGCGUGUUCCAAUCCACACACUCAUUACGCACUAUAUAGGCCACAUAAACACCAUCAUGUGGGCGUGUCCCAAUCCACACACCCUUUACGCACUAUAUAGGCGACAUAAACACCAUCAUGUGGGCGUGACCCAAUCCACACACUCAUUAUGCACUAUAUAGGCGACAUAAACACCAUCAUGUGCUUGUGUCCCAAUCCACACACUCAUUACGCACUAUAUAGGCCACAUAAACACCAUCAUGUGGGCGUGUUCCAAUCCUCACACUCAUUACGCACUAUAUAGGCCACAUAAACACCAUCAUGUGGGCGUGUUCCAAUCCACACACUCAUUACGUACUAUAUAGGCCACAUAAACACCAUCAUGUGGGCGUGUCCCAAUCCACACACUCUUUACGCACUAUAUACUCCACAUAAACACCAUCAUGUGUGCGUGUCCCAAUCCACACACUCUUUACGCACUAUACAGGCCACAUAGACACCAUCACGUGGCGUGUCCCAAUCCACACACUCAUUACGCACUAUAUAUUCCACAUAAACACCAUCAUGUGGGCGUGUCCCAAUCCACACACUCAUUACGCACUAUAUACUCCACAUAAACACCAUCAUGUGGGCGUGUUCCAAUCCUCACACUCAUUACGCACUAUAUAGGCCACAUAAACACCAUCAUGUGGGCGUGUUCCAAUCCUCACACUCAUUACGCACUAUAUAGGCCACAUAAACACCAUCAGGUGGCGUGUUCCAAUCCACACACUCAUUACGUACUAUAUAGGCCACAUAAACACCAUCAUGUGGGCGUGGCCCAAUCCACACACUCUUUACUCACUAUAUAGGCCACAUAAACACCAUCAUGUGGGCGUGUCCCAAACCACACACUCUUUACUCACUAUAUAGGAAACUUAAACACCAUCAUAUGGGCGUGUCCCAAACCACACACUCUUUACUCACUAUAUAGGCCACAUAGACACCAUCAUGUGGGCGUGUCCCAAACCACACACUCUUUACUCACUAUAUAGGAAACAUAAACACCAUCAUGUGGGCGUGUCCCAAACCACACACUCUUUACUCACUAUAUAGGAAACUUAAACACCAUCAUGUGGGCGUGUCCCAAACCACACACUCUUUACUCACUAUAUAGGAAACUUAAACACCAUCAUGUGGGCGUGUCCCAAACCACACACUCUUUACUCACUAUACAGGAAACAUAAACCCCAUCAUGUGAGCGUGUCCCAAACCACACACUCUCUAGUCACCAUAUAGGCCACAUACACACCAUCAUGUGGGCGUGUCCCAAACCACACACUCUUUUUAAAUAAAAAGUUUGUGUCACAAACCUGUCGCUGUCGCUGUCAUUUACUCUCUGAAGUGUCCACUCCCGAUUUGGGACGAGGCCCGUCUCAGGUCCGUCUGGAUGAAGAGCGGGAGAUUUUCAGCGUUCCUCGGUGCCACAGAGAGUCAGCAGACCGGUGGGGUUUUCAUGCCGCUCGAGUUUCUUCAUCAAACAUUAACGAGGAGAGCGCGACUCGACUCGACGCUUCCUUCCUGCAGGACGGGACGUUUGGGUUUUAUACUAAUCCGAUCCGACUGUGAGAGAGACCUAGCAAAGAGAGAGAGAGAGAGAGAGAGAGAGAGAGAGAAUAUGCCUAUCAUCAAUAUUUAAAUACAUCCAAAGUGUGUAAAUAUCAACUGCAGCUGGAUGUAGCAUGUGAUCACAUCUGGAGUGAUACGCUAAUCACAGAGGUGCUAAUGACGCUAACAACAAAAACAUUAGCGCGAUUUCAGACAAACAGCGACAUAAAGUUUGACUUAAACGUUAUUUAUUAAUUAGCUACACCAAAGCCACGCCCACUUAUUUGCUAUUGGCUCGCAAGACAGAGAUUCAUAAAGUCGUUGUGAAUCGAAAGUAGCCACCGGAAAUAACCACGCAGCUUUUACGUCCCACGUCCCUUUCCCCUUCGGUGAAUUGACUUUGCGUUCGUUCCGAUUUUUUAUCGGUUCAUUAUUUUUUAUGACUGUUUCUAUGGCAACGGUGCUCCGGUUCGAUUCCCAGAUUUCCUACGUUCUGGCGGUGUGCUCUACACCCUACGUAGUGCACUAUUCAGCAAACAGGAAGUGAUUUAGGAUUCGUCCCGUGGUCCCGCUCGAUCGCUAGCUGGGCUAACGCUGAGCUAAUCGGACUCGUAUCGUUUGUUUAUUUCAAUCGCACUUCAUGAAUAUUCAAAAGGGUUAUCGUGUCUCUUUUCAGACCUGCCAUCACGCUAAAAAAAAUUCGAAAAAACGAUUGGCUCUUAGUUUUUAACCAAGGGGCGGGGCUUACGUUCGCUGCUACGCCCUGUUCGUUCUUUGAUCCUGCUCUGGAUUCUGAUUGGUCGGAUCGGUGUUUGAUUCGAAUAUGUUACUGUUUCUACAGUAACAGCUCAUUCACGUGGACUUGUCACCGAGCUCUGUGUAUGUGUGUGUGUGUGUGUGUUAUCAGUGCAGUAGAUCGUCACACACUGCCACUGUGAGAAUGAAGAAAAAUGGGGUUUGAAUCGUCAGGGUGUAAUUAAGCAUAUCGUCAUGAUGAUGAUGAUCUGUAGGGAGAAGAUAAGCCUCACACACGCACACACACAGUCGAGUUAGCGUUUUUCCAUGCAUCUCUGACACAGAGAUUACGUUACAUAUAUGUGCACAUAAAUAAGAUGAAAUGAUUAUUAUUAUUAUUAUUAUUAUUGUUGUUAUAGAUAAUACUGCAGAGCCGUGAUGCUAUACUGUUAUAACGAUAUACCGCGCUAAUUACCUUUGAAAUGAUUCAAUAAUAUACCAUCGCUGUUAGCUGACGUUCAGGGACACGAUGACAUCACAAUAAAUUUUUUAAAAAAUCGAAAUCGGACAACGUUUCUUCCGCUGAGCGAUGAACAGUAAACUAAGGAACGAGACGCGACGGCGAUUAGAGGCGUUUACGCGUCCCGUUCCUCUCGUCUCACUGCGAUUCGCCUACGAUUACGCAUUUCUCUUGAUUAAAGAAUGCGUGCUGGUGUUUUUUUGUUAUCCGUUUAUCGCUACAUCCGGCGUGGGAGUUCUCGCUUACGUUCUCGCAGCGAUAAACGCUCGUUCCCUCGCCAGCGUCUUUUAUCGCCAUCCUACAACCGAUUUUCAGCACAUAAAAAUACCGUAAUGGCUUUUUUUUUUUUUUUUUUUUUAAUCUCACGGUUAUUUCAGUAAUCUUAUAAUAAAGCCACACUUUACUGAGAGGAAGCUGGGUAACAAAAGGGGAAAAGGGAGGAAAAAAGGGGGGCGGGGCUUGUGUAUCUUCUCUCCAUGGUUGAUGUAAGGUUAUAGCGAAUAUCAUAAUCCCUCCUCAGAGAAGCCUUUUCUCACACAAGAUGAUGACUAAAUUUCUAGUGUCUUAUCAGACACUACCAGACUGGAGCUGGUACAAGAGGAUUGUGGGAAAAGAGAAGGAGG
ensembl:lncRNA